CGGCCGCGGUAUCCUAACCGUGCAAAGGUAGCAUAAUCAUUUGUCUACUAAUUAUAGACCAGUAUGAAUGGCAAAAUGAGGGUCUAACUGUCUCUUAUAAUAAAUCGAUUAAACUGAUCUCCCAGUAAAAAAGCUGGAAUUCCAACAUAAGACCAGAAGACCCUGUGAAGCUUGAACUACACUAUUAAACCUUAUAAUAACUACUUUCGGUUGGGGCGACCUUGGAAAAAAAAAGAACUUCCAAACUAUGACCAUACUACCACUAGGCCCACAAGCCACAAACGACCCAGCAUAGCUGAUUAUUGAACCAAGUUACUCCAGGGAUAACAGCGCAAUCCUCUUCAAGAGCCCAUAUCAAAAAGAGGGUUUACGACCUCGAUGUUGGAUCAGGACAUCCUGAUGGUGCAGCCGCUAUCAAGGGUUCGUUUGUUCAACGAUUAAUGUCCCACGUGAUCU
rnacentral:rRNA from 1 species